rnacentral:lncRNA from 10 species
CACUUAUCUCUUUGUAAGAUUAUGAUUAUGGAGACGCCACUAUUUGCUGGAUAUUCUGGAAGGUUCUGAGGAUCAAAGAUAAAGAUGCUUUUCCUCAUGCAUUCAGCGUCUUUCUCUUCUUUUCUCUAAAUAUUUAGUCUUUGGUUCUCUCUCUCUUUCUCUGUCUCUUUCUGCUUUACAAACCUCUCCCUUGAAGAAGAGUAAUUUUUAUAAUAUUGUCUCUUAGAUCUAUGCAAAUGUCUCUCAUAUUUGGAAUUGAGCUUCUACGAAGGCCAGUGCCAUUUUUCUCCUGCUGUUUACUGCCCAUCUCCAUGGAAAACAAGACACAUUCCCAGAAGUGAAAGUGCAGAUUCAAAGAACCUAAGGAUUGACAAACAAGCUCCAGUGACACUGUUUUAUAUUGCCUAUCUACUUAGAAACCAUACCUGCCAAAGAACACAACUGCAUUCACUGAGUGUCACGAACUUAACUCAUAUCACAGGAAGAGAGACUAAAGUCUGUCAACACAUCUGGACAGGGUUUUCUCACAAUUAUUUUCUCUGCUGGCCCAAUAGACUUUGUACCAGGCUGUUGUGUGUUCUCCAAACCCUUUGAAUCCCCCUAAAAAUAAUUUACUAGCCCUCAAAUUGUCACAUUUUAUGCAUCUCUCUUUCCCCAAUGAAUAAUGGUAUAUAACAUCUGUACACCAUUUGGUUAUUGGGAAAUCAUUCUCCUCUAAUUCCUCGAUGCUAUGCUAAAAUACAAUUUCGUAUGUCUUUUCUGCCACU